rnacentral:rRNA from 1 species
UACGUAGGGUGCAAGCGUUGUCCGGAAUUACUGGGCGUAAAGGGCUCGUAGGCGGCCAACUAAGUCAGACGUGAAAUCCUCGUCGUAACCGGGGAACUGCGUCUGAUACUGGAUGGCUUGAGUUUGGGAGAGGGAUGCGGAAUUCCAGGUGUAGCGGUGAAAUGCGUAGAUAUCUGGAGGAACACCGGUGGCGAAGGCGGCAUCCUGGACCAACACUGACGCUGAGUGAGCGAAAGCCAGGGGAGCAAACGGG